rnacentral:rRNA from 1 species
CCUACGGGCGGCAGCAGUGAGGAAUAUUGGUCAAUGGGCGCGAGCCUGAACCAGCCAAGUCGCGUGCGGGAUGACGGCCCUAUGGGUCGUAAACCGCUUUUGUCCGGGGGUAAAACCCGCCACGUGUGGCGGUCUGAAAGUACCGUACGAAUAAGGAUCGGCUAACUCCGUGCCAGCAGCCGCGGUAAUACGGAGGAUCCGAGCGUUAUCCGGAUUUAUUGGGCUUAAAGGGUGCGUAGGCGGACGAUCAAGUCAGCGGUAAAAUCUCGAGGCUCAACCGCGGCCUGCCGUUGAAACUGGGCGUCUUGAGUGCAGAAGAGGUAGGCGGAAUGCGUGGUGUAGCGGUGAAAUGCAUAGAGAUCACGCAGAACUCCGAUUGCGAAGGCAGCAUACCGGGGUGCAACUGACGCUGAGGCACGAAAGUGUGGGUAUCAAACAGGAUUAGAUACCCUUGUAGUC